CAACCGAAUCAGCAUAGAAAGGAAGAGGUUAAAAAUGUGAAUUCAUAAGAACUACAAAACAAAAAAUCCGGCCGAUUCCUUUUUGUUUGUUAAAUACAUCAAAAGCUCAUGAGAAAAACUAGUAACCUUGCUUGAUCCCCACACAAGUGACCAAGUAGUUUUUCUUGUCCAGCAUCAUGAUGGCAAUGGUAGAAGAAAAAGGCUCAGCAAAAGGGAAAGCUUGCUUCUUUAUAGUAGGUGAUGAUCCAACAGAUGUGAAGGCAUGACUGAAAGUGUGGGCACAGGCAGUAGCAAUAGCAUCUGCCACCAAAUACGGCUCAUGACACCCAAUUUUCUUGAUAGCUAAUACCUACUUCCUUUUUUUGGCGAUUGAGACAGUGUACAUUAUUAUUAUCAUUAUUUUUUCCCACCACUAUGAUCGGUUAUAGAAUGAAUUUCAUUGUA